rnacentral:rRNA from 1 species
AGAGUUUGAUCAUGGCUCAGAACGAACGCUGGCGGCGCGCUUAAGCAUGCAAGUCGAACGGCAAGUACCUCGGGUAACCUAGAGUGGCGGACUGGUGAGUAACACGUAGGUGACGUACCCCCCGGACGGGGGAUAGCUCCUAGAAAUAGGAGAUAAUACCGGAUAAGGUUGCACGGGCUGGAACCGUGUAAGGAAAGGUGCUUCGGCACCGCCGGGGGAGCGGCCUGCGGCCCAUCAGCUGGUAGGUGAGGUAAAGGCCCACCUAGGCAAUGACGGGUAUCCGGCCUGAGAGGGUGAGCGGACACAUUGGGACUGAGAUACGGCCCAGACUCCUACGGGAGGCAGCAGCUAAGAAUAUUCCGCAAUGGACGAAGUCUGACGGAGCGACGCCGCGUGGACGAUGAAGGCCCGGAAGGUUGUAAAGUCCUUUUAUAACUGAGGAAUAAGCCGUGCAGGGAAUGGCAUGGUGGUGACUGUAGGUUAUGAAUAAGCACCGGCUAAUUACGUGCCAGCAGCAGC